GGGACCUCAGAUGAUGGGUGGGGAGCGGAAAGAAGGAGAAGGAGAGAGGCAGAUUGGAAGUCAUGUCGCAGUUUUCUCUCUAGAGUGUUUCGAAAAGAAAUACGAAAACAACCGCUGCUUAAGUGGCUAGAUCUUAUAUUAAACGACCAUAGAAAGUGUUAAAGAACCGUUUCUUUCAUUUUGCGUCAUUUGUGUACUCUGACGAAAAGUAUAGAACGGAUUUGUGUUCGUUACGGUUUAGAUUCCACUGGCAUCGCGGGAUUCGUCGUCAUUCAGUCGCCGCGGGUCAUACGACGGACACAUACAGAGCUUCUUCCUGGUGGAUGAACCACACAGGCGUUGACACGGUCGGACCGCAGGUCAUUGCUGUGGACUGACUGUUGAGACAGAGGUGGAUUUGAGAAAAUUAAAUGCUCAGAUGAUUCAUAGCUCACUCUGUGGAUCAACAUCUGUAUCUGUUUUUAGAUGAAACCAUGACCUCCAGAAUGAAUCUCUCUGAAGAACAUGAAACAAAGAUAAAGACAGUCAAGAGUCUGAUCCAGGAGGGUGAAUCAGUCUUACCUGAACACGUCAAUGUGUCUGUGAGGAAAAAACAGAAACCGAUGAAUCUUUCAGAUCUCUGUAGAGAGGAAGACUCUUUUGUUGAGUCCAGGUGAGAUAUUAUAAGUGUCAUAUAUACUGUAGGUGUGGUGCAUUAUGGACAUUGUCAUCAGGUGUCCCCGUUACUGCUGGAUGUUUCUGUUUCUGUCUUCAUAUGUGUGUAUUGGUCUUAUUUUUUCUAUAAUGCAUGAAUGAAAAGGGCACAUGUGGCAGAUUCCUUUUAUUUAUAGACAACAUUUACAUUUACAUUUAUUCAUUUAGCAGACGCUUUUAUCCAAAGAGACUUACAGGUGGGGAAUACAUCAAGCGAUUAGUCCUAAAGAGGCAAAACGACUUAGGAAGUGCUCAUAAUACCAUAUAACAGGCAUUGUUCAAAUAAGUACAGGCUAGAAAGGGAAAAGAGUAGAGUAAAGGAAUUUUUUUCUUUUAUGUCAAAUAGUGUCAAAAGAGAUAGGUUUUUUAGCAGUCGCUUGAAAGUUGUAAGGGAGUUGGCAUUCCGGAUAGCGAUGGAAAGAUCAUUCCACC